UGUAUUAAUUAGAUCAGCAAACUUCAAUUCUAAUUUAAGAUAUUAAUUUAAUACUGAAUAUUUCCCAGUUUACUUGAACCUAAAAUUAAUUCUGGCUUCCAUAUUUUUAGAAUUUAUAUAUGCAAAGCCUUAUCCAAGGAAAUGCAGGGAAAAAAAGGCAUCUUUUAAAUCUAAUACAGUUAUCCAUGAUGCUGUGUCUGGAAUUUGUGAAAGAAGAGUGUAGGGAUUGGGCACCACUGGAUGUAAUGGGACCAGUGUCUCAUUUAUUAGAUGAAGGUCUUGUACUAGGCACCAAUCCCUGUUAAGUUUUUGCACUCUCAAUAUAGGAGUGUUACAAGGGCUGUUACAUUCAACUAAUAAUCUCUGUUCUCUUAUGUUUCCUAUAAUUGGCAUAAGUCACUGUCAUGCCUCGGGUCUCAGAGGAUACUGCCUUUGGCAAAGAAGCAAAUUUUGAUCUUUAAGACUUAUUUCCACCAGUUGAGUAUUCUUUGCUCUUCCUAUCUUUCCUCCUAUGGCCCAGACUUCUGAGUCAAUAUAUACUUCCAUCACAGGAAGGCAUAAAACUUGAUUGGGCUCCAUUGCCAUGUGCCUUUUUUUUUUUCUUUUUCUUUUUUUUUUUAGGGCAACACCCAUGGCAUAUGGAGGUUCCCAGGCUAGGGGUUCAAUCAUAGCUGAAGCCGCCAGGUUACACCACAGCCACAGCCAUGUGAGAUCCGAGCCACGUCUGCAAUCUACACCACAGCUCACCUCAGCGCUGGAUCCCCAACCCACUGAGCAAAGUCAGGGAUUGAAUCUGAAACCUCAUGGUCCCUAGUCGGAUUUGGUUCUGCUGAGCCAUGAUGGGAAAUCCUCCAUUGCCAUGUGAAUUGAAGCUUUAACCUCUUACAAAAUAUCUCUUUCUAAAAGAGGAGUUGGACUCUCUGGAACAAUCAGAAAGGCAUGAGAGAAAAUGGAUUCCCAGUCACAACUCAAAGGAUGCGUAAAAAUUUUUGUAACUGGCUUGCCAGAAAUACGAAUGUGGCAGAUUCAUGAGGGAGGGGCCCAGGAUUGGAGAGAAGGACUGAAAAGGUGGCCCGUAUCCAGGAAGUCAAUAGGCUGUCUUCCUACAUUUAGAGUCACCCAGGGCUCCUGGGUGGUGAUAAGGACAGAAGCCGUUAUGGAAAUGUCCCGUCAGUCUUGAUCCUGGGCCUGAGGGGGUAAACACCAGAGACCUUGUUUUCAGGGGCAGUUCCUCUUCCAUUGAUCUCUCCAACAUAUGGGGCACAGCCUAGGUGCUGUGGUCUGAGGCUUGGGGCAUUGCCAUUUAAAGUGUCCCUCUUUUGCACAGAGAAAACAGGCUCCAGGCAUAGGUCUCUGCCCUAGUCCUCCUGCCUUGGAAGCGCCCAGGUUGACUCCCUGUAGCACUGUAACCAGAGCCUCAGCCUUUUCUCUGUCUCUCCUCUUGUUCUCUUUUCAUUCUUCCUGGCCCCGAUUAUAACAUACUUGAGUUGCUACUCUGAGGAGGUGCUCCAGGUCCUGAUCAGGGCCAAAAGCCAAUUUUUAGAGCUUUCUCCAUAUAUCUGGCACUGAUUGAGCUAUGAAUUUAUGCUUAAGAAUUAUUCGGUCCUCCAUUGUUUCUGGGUUCCUUGGUGUAUGUUUUAUCAAUGCCUUUCUGAGUCUUUCUAAGAAGGCUGAUGGACUCUCUUGUUCCCCUAGUAAACCUCUAAUAAUUUUUAAUGGGUUUUACUCAUGAGGCUUUUAAUCCCUCAACUAUACAAGUAAUAAAAUGAUUUCUACACCAAUUGUGGUUAUCUCCCUCAUCAGCAGACCAACUGGGAUCACUCAUAGGAACUGCUUGACACCCUGUGGGGAAUUUUGUUCUAUCUCUUCUAAUUUGCCUCUGGCAUUUAUAGCAUCAUUCCAUUCAUUUUCCCCAGCUUUGAGCAGUUUCAAAGACUUUGUGUAUUUUUUUUUCACUUAUAGCCAAUGUCUGUUUUAGCAAUAACAUGAUGUCCUUCCAGGAUAACUCAAAGGACUGAAUGAGAUCCUAAAAGAUCUCAAUAUAUCUGGGUCAUCAGCAAAUUUUCCCAAAUCUGUUUUUAUUUGCCUUAAGUCCUGAAGUGAAAUAGGCAUAUGGACCUGUAUUUGGUCCCCAUUCUCCAUUUGCCACUUCUUGUAAAGGGAGUAGAGAGGGAUAUAACUUUGGCACUGGAGUGGGAAGAGGAGGAGACUUGGGCAGUAUUGGAGAAGGCUGAUUAACUUCUGGAGGGUCUGACCCAGUUGGGCCAGCAUAUGGUGGGCACCUAGGUCUUGAGGGAGUUGGCAUAAGCCUUCCUCAGUGUAGUGUCUUCCCUCAUUGUAAAGGGGAUCUGACAUAAGGCAACUCUGACCAUUCUCCUUCUCCUCUACCAAAAGGGUCUCAUUGGAGAAUUGUAUUAUAAGCUAGAGAGCCUUAAGAUGGCCAUCGCUCUCCAUCUGACAGAUUAUAUAGUGGGCAGGCUUUUGCUCAAAAGAAAAUUAAAUGUUUCUUUUUCAGAGUCUCAGGGUCAAAAUUUUUCCAGUUCUUCAAGGCACAUAUCAGAGGAGUUGCUAUAGAGCCAUGCGCCAGGCUUGAGGAUGUUACUCCCAUGCGAAAAAGAGAAAAGAUCAGCAUCCAGUGCCUAUUGUCCCUUCUUGGUUAUGUGAGGGCGUCCCCUCUCUUAGAUGAAGCAGCUGGACAUUAGUGGUCAAAUAUCCCAUCCGACCUCAGGCUGACUGGAAUUAACCACUCUUUACCACCAUAGCCUCUUUUCCUGUCGUCCCUGCCCAUUGCCUGUCUCUGGACAGAGGUAAAGAAAACCCAGACAUACAGGCCCUGCCCUGAGUUUUCGAAUCCUAAGAUGGUCGCUCUGACAUGACCUCUAUUAAUAUUAGGAAAGCUUCUAAGCCACAGUUAACAGGUAAAUUGGAUGAACCAGCUAUUGAUUUUUCCAACCAGAGUGAAAGUAAAUGGCAAAAAGCAAAACUGACAUGCCCAGGCUCUGAGGCUAAACACUUGGCCUAAGUUGGAUGAAUACUAGUUAUGAACUCCUUUUCCCCCACAGGCAUGGUAACAACUCAGGGUGGUCUUACCAUCUAGAGGUCUGUUUCCUUUGCCCCCACAGCUCUAUUUGAGGUAAUAGCAAAGGGAAUGAUGAAAGAUCAGGUUAGUUUUACACCAUAAUCUUCUGAAAAUCCCUUUUUGAAAUCUCUGAUCACACAGUCUAGCACCAUGGGUUUAGACCCAUGGUGUCUUUCUGUGUAUCUUGUCUGUGGCCUGAUGUUAUGAGACUUUCUCUGACCUCAUGGGUGGUAUCUCCAAUAGUGUUGCCUCCACCAUUCCUGUAAGCAAGACAGCUCCCACUCAGCUUGCUCUAUGGCUGGGGAGAGCACCUGCUUUGUUGCAAGUGUCUCUGAUCCAUCUAGUCCCCAGGUCUUGAGAAGACACUCUCAGACAAGUUCUAAUGUUUGGGCAAAGGUCAGGGGGCCUCAUACCCAAUCCUCCCUAUACCCUGAACUGAGACAGAGAUGACGGUCUUAUCUUCCUGACUCAGAUUCUGCGCCUAUGUGAACUGACAAAAUGGGCAGUCCAGCAGUUUAGAAUCUAGGAUGAGAGUUCCUGGAGGCCCAGGGGCAAGGUCAAGUUAGAUUAUCUCCUUGGAGGAAUUUAUGGCCCAAAUGGCGGGAGCACAGGGGUCUCUGGCUCAUGGGCUUCUGGGUUAGGUCCCACCCCAUGUGGCUGCCCUGUGCCGGUGUUGCAGACAAAACAAGGGAGGGUGCUCCCUUCUCAGAAGGUGGCCAUUCAGAUGUCCGACUGACCGCCCCCCUCUGGGGAGUUUAGGUGCCUCUUAGCAAUUGGCUGGUUCGUAUAAGCCCUGAACUUGGAUUGGACUCGCAGGGAGGGAAGAGAACCCUCAGAGUCCGCUACAGCCAUAAGCCAUAUGAGGUCACCACGGAACUGCAGGUUAGGACCCACUCGGACUCCGUAGCCACAAACUCGAACCUGAAGCGCAAGUGAAUCAGGCCGCUCAUUCACCCUCACACACACUCAGAGGUUAUCACAAUGCCUCCCACUCCCUGGGAAUCCCUAACUAGUAGCCCAAUCAAGCACAACUUUCAAUCGGCUACACCUGACAGUUGCUCCACCCAAGCAGGAGGUUCCUCUGCUUCCAAUCUGGAGCACUAGGACUGCUGCUCCGGUCAGGCACAGCUUCUCACCGGGAGAGUCUCCCUCAGGGGGUGAUCGGUCCCCUCUUCUGCCCAUUGGGGCAGGACCUGACUGGGGUUUGCCCCGGGGCCUUACCUUGUCCGGAUGCCUUCCUGGUGAGUUGGUCUGUCUCUGCACUGAGUCCAGUCGGGGUUCAGUCACCCGGGAGUCAGGAAUGCCGCUCACAAAGGAGGACCCGGAAUACUGUUGGAUGGCACGCCGCCUCAUUCGGUUCAAGGCUCCCCAGCUCCUGGGUGGCCUCGCCUCCGUUCUAGGUGGCUCAAGGGGCCAGAACAGUUGAAAUCUUGCUGGGGCCUCCAGAAAUGUUAGGGCAGCUGCCCAGCAGCUCUGUGCCACAGCAUAUCAGCUCUGGCGACAGCCCUAUGGCUAUAGUGUACCAGCUCCAGCAGCUCUGUGGCUACAGCAUAUCAGCUCUUUUACCCAGCUAGAAACCAAGCGAGCACUCAGAGAGUAGGAGAACUCAGGUUUAUCACGCUGGUGGGCUCAGAGGAGAUCGCUCUCCGGAGUCUGAGCCCCAAAGUGGGGUUUCACAAGGCUUUUAUGGGCUAGUUCUUCCAGGUCCAUGCUUGGCGGACCAGAGUGAGAACUGGCAAGUUUACAGAAGCAGAUGCGUGGGGGAGGGGUGGUUAGGGGUAGUUGGCUGGGUUUUGCUUAGUCAUCAUGGCGGAGUCUCUCCUUUCUACAUUUUUAUCAGGACAUUUUCUCCUACAAGUAUGCUUUCACAAGUAAAACAAACUAAUGAUAUCUUUUUCUUCAAAAAUAAUUAAAACACAAGGCUUGAGAUAUCCAAGUGUUUACUAGAUGUGCAUAGAAGACUCUUGUAAGCAGAACGGAGUGACUCAUUCCCUGAGUAUUCUAGGAAACCAGGUUUUAUCAUUCAGAAUCACCAUUUGAAAAGUAAGCAAUUAUUCUAGAGGGAAACACAGAUCUUCACAAAUCAGGUUGAAAAUGUCCAAGGAUUAACCAGCAAUAUGCAUAAAUACUGAGAAUUGGGAGGCACAGAAGAAAUGGCAGGAAACACUCUUUAGGGAAAAUAGUGAAGCAAAGGAACAGAAAGAGCUAAGAUAACACCAACAC
rnacentral:lncRNA from 1 species